UUUGAAUGUAUUGUAGAGAGAGAGUAGCUAGGGUUCUUGAGGUUAGGAUUGGCACCUUCCAUGUCUGAUUGGUUAUUUUGCACAGCCCUUGUUGCAUCUUCCAAUUAACGUUGAAGCUCAUUGUUCCUCUUCGUGAGGACCUCCAACUCGCCGGUUAAGCGUUCGUGCUCCAAUGGCAUCCUCCAAUUAAUGGUGAAGCUCCUUGUUCCUCUUCGUGAGGACCUCUAACUCGCUAGUUAAGCGUUCGUGCUCCAAUUGCAGGCUCCCAAGGAACUCCGAGAGCUCAACCUCUCUCUCUAAUUGAAACCCUCUGUCCCUCAUCAAACCCUAAUCGUCUCUCAUUGCGGCGUUUCUUGACGCCCUCCCCAUUGCUUCUCUCUCCAAGAUCUCAGAAUCCCUUCUCUGUCCUCUUUACUCGAUUCUUGUAGCGUUUCUUGAUGGCCUCCCUAUUGCUUCUCUCUCCAAGAUCUCAGAAUCCCUUCUCAGUCCUCUUUACUCGAUUCGUGAACCUGAUAUUGUCUUUCCUCUCGAGCCCUUGCCCACUCUUCUUACUGUGCAACAGGUUUUCCGAUAUGUACCUAAGAAAAACGCCAUUAAUAUCGAAGCUUUGAAGCAGGCUGGAACCUCCAUUUCUUUAAUGGAAG
rnacentral:lncRNA from 1 species